GUUAAUAUUUGCAGAGUGGUUCAGCUCCUUUCUCUCUCCUGCCUCUCAAAAAGAUGCUAUUCCUGUGAUUAAAACCAUUACAGUGCUUCAAAGGUUAUACAUGACUUUCAGGCUUCAACCUCAAUAGAAGCAGGAUAUGAGGGGCCAUUGAAACCCAUCUGGGUCUCUACUUUGCAUAUCACCCUGAGGAAGUGAGCCACCACUGAGUCUAGCUGGCGAGUAGAAUCUUGCUCCCUGCUGACCUGCUUCCCUGCCACUUGGACCUGCCUAGUGCCAGUUCCUGGAUUCUCUUUAGCCUUGCUUCACCUGCCUGUUAUGAUAUGCUACCUCUUGCUAGUCUACUCUCAUGUGUCCUAGCUGGGUUCACCAUCUGUUGCUCAUUACUGUACUCUCUGGACCUGCUGUCUGCCUCCAUGCAUGUGCACAUUGGCAACUGAAUCCAGAUCUGCCUCUGCAUCUCUACCACCUGCUUCAGCCCUGUGGGAUAUCUUGUUCCAGCUUUCUUCUGAAACUGCCUUACCCUACCUUUUCAGUCUAAUAAGUUUUGAUGAGAUCUUUUAAAUAAUAUGUCAAACCCAUUUCUGUCUCCUUAAACAGUAAACAUAAUGUAAUUGAAAGAGAAAAAAAAUGUUUUCUUAAAGAUGCAGAGGCUGGUG
rnacentral:lncRNA from 1 species